UACGUAGGGUGCAAGCGUUGUCCGGAAUUAUUGGGCGUAAAGAGCUCGUAGGCGGUUUGUCGCGUCUGCUGUGAAAACGCGGGGCUCAACUCCGCGCCUGCAGUGGGUACGGGCAGACUAGAGUGCAGUAGGGGAGACUGGAAUUCCUGGUGUAGCGGUGAAAUGCGCAGAUAUCAGGAGGAACACCGGUGGCGAAGGCGGGUCUCUGGGCCAUAACUGAC
rnacentral:rRNA from 1 species